rnacentral:lncRNA from 1 species
GACCACUAGCUGUUUCCCUUCCGUCGCUGCCUCUCACCGCCUCUGUCUCUAUCUCGUUUCCUUUGAAAAGAACCAUGCAGAUCCUUCAGUCUUCCAUCCUUGCUUUGGUUUCAUUUUUCCCUUCGAUCAGCCCCUCCGUUGGAGUCUACGGCGCCAUCUUUUGCUACUACGACGUCAAAGCCCUCGGAUCCAGCUCGUCUCCAUUACUUCUCUCCCUCUCACGCAUCGAAGACUCCACCGAAUCAACCGCCCUCACCUUUUCUUUUUUUCAUUUGAACCGAAGCUCUUCAUGAAAUUUUUCUGUUCCACUCAGCCCACAAUCCCACUGAGUUUUGUCUCUUCUCGGUCAAGCCAACGAAUUCCCCAAUUUGUUGACCAAAGACCACCGAAUCUCCACUGAAUUGAAGCCAGCAUCUUUGGUCUCCUUUGCCAUUCCCUUGUGCAGCUUGAUUUCACCAAAAUCCCAAGCAGCCCGUCGACGUUGCUCCUUCCUCCUGCUGGCGCCAAUCCCACACUCAAGCAAGGCCAGCGCCGUCUUCAGCCCACUCCAUUCGGCCCAACUUCAGCCCUUGCUGCUUCGUUGCUCAAGCCCAGUGAAGCCACACUAGCAAAUUCAACCCAUUCUCAGUCCAUUGAAGCUUGCAAUUCGGCCCAAGUUUCGGCCCACUUGAAGUCAGGCCCAAAGUUAACCCAUCUUGAAGCCCACGAAGCAGGCCCAAGCCCAAUACCAAGCCCAUCAAUUGAUGUGGGCUUGCAAGGCUUUUGGCCGCCAUCGUGCUGUCAUCGCGGUGAAGCAGUCUUCGCUUUAAGCAAGUGGGUUUAACUCACUAAACCUCGUUUAGUAGGUUAAUGAUGCUUAGGGGCUAAUUAUAUUUAAUUAAAUACAAUUAUGUGGUUAGAUUAGAGUAGAACAAUUAAAUUAGUGCCUUAUCGAUGCAUGCUAGACAAAUGGUUAGUGCAAUUAGCAAGUAAAUAGGUUUUAGUAUUUAUCGAACGAACCUCGGAAAUUUUCCGGGUCCAUUUCAGCUUCCAAUUAGGUAUUACAGGCCUAAGUUGGAUUUAUUGCAUUUAUUUAUUAAUUUUCGUAAUUAUUUAAUUAUUUAUUUAUUUUUCGGAAAUUAGACCACGAUAGCCGGUGACCGGAAUUUUAUGUUGAUUAUCAUGGUGUAGUCUAUUUAAUUAUUUGAGUGCUAAAUUGUGAUGAAUUGAUUUAUUGGUGAUUUUAUAAUUUAAUUCAUAAAUUAAGAAAUUUUGAUAAUUAAUUGGAAAAUUACUGGCCGUCGGUCUACAACGCCAAAAUCUAUUUUUGGACAGCUGAAAGAAGUGGGAAAAAUCAAAAGCGAAAUUAUGGUAUUUUUGGCUAAGGCCGAUUGUGUACCCACACACUACUAUUUUUAUGGGUAUAAUAAAAAUGAUGAAUUAAUUGUAUGGUGGGAGUGGUAUACUAUAAUGGUCAGGGGGCCUUAAAUUAUCAGCUUUGGGCGAGCAUAUAUUAUCAGUUUUAGGCGAGCAUAUAAAUAGUAUACCAUAAUAUCAGCUUUGGGCGAGCAAAUCAUAUCAGCUUUGGGCGAGCAUAUAUUAUCAGCUUUGGGUGAGCAUAUAUAGUAUACUAAAUUGGCCUGGGGGCCCUAUUCUAUCAGCUUUGGGCAAGCAUAUACAUAGUAUACUAUAGCUUUGGGCGAGCUAUACUAUCUAUAUUUUCAGCUUUGGGUGAGCGGUCCUAGUUUGAUAGGACCUUAUAGAUAGUAUUGAAUGUACCGACCAGGGGAAGGUCGUGAUGACAUGUAAUCGACUAGGUCGAUUGAUCAAAGUCUUGAUCUGUGGUGAUUUUUUGGUGGUAUAUUUGAAUUGAAUUGACUUGUAGGGAGGAACUGAGGCCAAGGUAAGUCCUCUGACUCGUGUUGUGCUUACGCAACCUCAGAGUAUAUUGGCUUUUUAAUUGAGUCUUAGGGGGUAGAACUCGCUAAAACAUUGUCUCACUGAUUAUUGUAUAACCAUUUUUAGUUCCUUAGACAGUGUUGGUGAAGGACUGGAAGCCCCGGAGUUUAAGAGGUGAAGCCCGAAGAAUCGGCGAUCUUGUACGGCUAGCUAGUCAUAGGACAAUCCUCUUUUGUUGGGAG